rnacentral:rRNA from 1 species
ACUCCUACGGGAGGCAGCAGUGGGGAAUUUUGCGCAAUGGGGGAAACCCUGACGCAGCAACGCCGCGUGGAGGAUGAAGUCCCUCGGGUCGUAAACUCCUUUCGACCGGGACGAUAUGA